GGGUUGUGAGGUUAAGCGACUAAGCGUACACGGUGGAUGCCCUGGCAGUCAGAGGCGAUGAAGGACGUGCUAAUCUGCGAUAAGCGUCGGUGAGGUGAUAUGAACCGUUAUAACCGGCGAUUUCCGAAUGGGGAAACCCAGUGUGUUUCGACACACUAUCAUUAACUGAAUCCAUAGGUUAAUGAGGCGAACCGGGGGAACUGAAACAUCUAAGUACCCCGAGGAAAAGAAAUCAACCGAGAUUCCCCCAGUAGCGGCGAGCGAACGGGGAGGAGCCCAGAGCCUGAAUCAGUGUGUGUGUUAGUGGAAGCGUCUGGAAAGGCGCGCGAUACAGGGUGACAGCCCCGUACACAAAAAUGCACAUAUUGUGAGCUCGAUGAGUAGGGCGGGACACGUGGUAUCCUGUCUGAAUAUGGGGGGACCAUCCUCCAAGGCUAAAUACUCCUGACUGACCGAUAGUGAACCAGUACCGUGAGGGAAAGGCGAAAAGAACCCCGGCGAGGGGAGUGAAAAAGAACCUGAAACCGUGUACGUACAAGCAGUGGGAGCCUCUUAAUGGGGUGACUGCGUACCUUUUGUAUAAUGGGUCAGCGACUUAUAUUCUGUAGCAAGGUUAACCGAAUAGGGGAGCCGAAGGGAAACCGAGUCUUAACUGGGCGUUAAGUUGCAGGGUAUAGACCCGAAACCCGGUGAUCUAGCCAUGGGCAGGUUGAAGGUUGGGUAACACUAACUGGAGGACCGAACCGACUAAUGUUGAAAAAUUAGCGGAUGACUUGUGGCUGGGGGUGAAAGGCCAAUCAAACCGGGAGAUAGCUGGUUCUCCCCGAAAGCUAUUUAGGUAGCGCCUCGUGAAUUCAUCUCCGGGGGUAGAGCACUGUUUCGGCAAGGGGGUCAUCCCGACUUACCAACCCGAUGCAAACUGCGAAUACCGGAGAAUGUUAUCACGGGAGACACACGGCGGGUGCUAACGUCCGUCGUGAAGAGGGAAACAACCCAGACCGCCAGCUAAGGUCCCAAAGUCAUGGUUAAGUGGGAAACGAUGUGGGAAGGCCCAGACAGCCAGGAUGUUGGCUUAGAAGCAGCCAUCAUUUAAAGAAAGCGUAAUAGCUCACUGGUCGAGUCGGCCUGCGCGGAAGAUGUAACGGGGCUAAACCAUGCACCGAAGCUGCGGCAGCGACACUAUGUGUUGUUGGGUAGGGGAGCGUUCUGUAAGCCUGUGAAGGUGGCCUGUGAGGGUUGCUGGAGGUAUCAGAAGUGCGAAUGCUGACAUAAGUAACGAUAAAGCGGGUGAAAAGCCCGCUCGCCGGAAGACCAAGGGUUCCUGUCCAACGUUAAUCGGGGCAGGGUGAGUCGACCCCUAAGGCGAGGCCGAAAGGCGUAGUCGAUGGGAAACAGGUUAAUAUUCCUGUACUUGGUGUUACUGCGAAGGGGGGACGGAGAAGGCUAUGUUGGCCGGGCGACGGUUGUCCCGGUUUAAGCGUGUAGGCUGGUUUUCCAGGCAAAUCCGGAAAACCAAGGCUGAGGCGUGAUGACGAGGCACUACGGUGCUGAAGCGACAAAUGCCCUGCUUCCAGGAAAAGCCUCUAAGCAUCAGGUAACAUCAAAUCGUACCCCAAACCGACACAGGUGGUCAGGUAGAGAAUACCAAGGCGCUUGAGAGAACUCGGGUGAAGGAACUAGGCAAAAUGGUGCCGUAACUUCGGGAGAAGGCACGCUGAUAUGUAGGUGAAGCGACUUGCUCGUGGAGCUGAAAUCAGUCGAAGAUACCAGCUGGCUGCAACUGUUUAUUAAAAACACAGCACUGUGCAAACACGAAAGUGGACGUAUACGGUGUGACGCCUGCCCGGUGCCGGAAGGUUAAUUGAUGGGGUUAGCGGUAACGCGAAGCUCUUGAUCGAAGCCCCGGUAAACGGCGGCCGUAACUAUAACGGUCCUAAGGUAGCGAAAUUCCUUGUCGGGUAAGUUCCGACCUGCACGAAUGGCGUAAUGAUGGCCAGGCUGUCUCCACCCGAGACUCAGUGAAAUUGAACUCGCUGUGAAGAUGCAGUGUACCCGCGGCAAGACGGAAAGACCCCGUGAACCUUUACUAUAGCUUGACACUGAACAUUGAGCCUUGAUGUGUAGGAUAGGUGGGAGGCUUUGAAGUGUGGACGCCAGUCUGCAUGGAGCCGACCUUGAAAUACCACCCUUUAAUGUUUGAUGUUCUAACGUGGGCCCCUAAUCGGGGUUGCGGACAGUGUCUGGUGGGUAGUUUGACUGGGGCGGUCUCCUCCUAAAGAGUAACGGAGGAGCACGAAGGUUGGCUAAUCCUGGUCGGACAUCAGGAGGUUAGUGCAAUGGCAUAAGCCAGCUUGACUGCGAGCGUGACGGCGCGAGCAGGUGCGAAAGCAGGUCAUAGUGAUCCGGUGGUUCUGAAUGGAAGGGCCAUCGCUCAACGGAUAAAAGGUACUCCGGGGAUAACAGGCUGAUACCGCCCAAGAGUUCAUAUCGACGGCGGUGUUUGGCACCUCGAUGUCGGCUCAUCACAUCCUGGGGCUGAAGUAGGUCCCAAGGGUAUGGCUGUUCGCCAUUUAAAGUGGUACGCGAGCUGGGUUUAGAACGUCGUGAGACAGUUCGGUCCCUAUCUGCCGUGGGCGCUGGAGAACUGAGGGGGGCUGCUCCUAGUACGAGAGGACCGGAGUGGACGCAUCACUGGUGUUCGGGUUGUCAUGCCAAUGGCACUGCCCGGUAGCUAAAUGCGGAAGAGAUAAGUGCUGAAAGCAUCUAAGCACGAAACUUGCCCCGAGAUGAGUUCUCCCUGAGACUUAGAGUCUCCUGAAGGAACGUUGAAGACGACGACGUUGAUAGGCCGGGUGUGUAAGCGCAGCGAUGCGUUGAGCUAACCGGUACUAAUGAACCGUGAGGCUUAACCUUACAACGCCGAAG
rnacentral:rRNA from 1 species